UAUAGUUGGUUAGAAAGGAGAAA
rnacentral:piRNA from 1 species